rnacentral:lncRNA from 1 species
UGGCCAUCUCUUGUCCGGCCAAUGCAUGAUGCUGGCGGCCAUCUUGUCUGACAAAUGCAUGAUGUUGGCAGCCAUCUUGUCUGCCCAAUGCAUGCUGCUGGCGGCCAUCUUGUCCGGCCAAUGCAUGAUUGUGGCGGCCAUCUUGUCCGGCCAAUGCAUGGUUGUGGCGGCCAUCUUGUCUAGCCAAUGCAUGAUGCUGGUGGCCAUCUUGUCUGGCCUACCUGUGCUUUCGGCAGCCAUCUUGUCCAGCCAAUGCAUGAUGCUGGUGGCCAUCUUGUCUGGCCUACCUGUGCUUUCGGCAGCCAUCUUGUCCAGCCAAUGCAUGAUUGUGGCGGCCAUCUUGUCUGGCCAACGCAUGAUUGUGGCGGCCAUCUUGUCUGGCCAAUGCAUGAUACUGGCGGCCAUCUUGUCUGGCCAAUGCAUGGUUUCAGCAGCCAUCUUGUCUGGCUAUCCUAUAGUGCUGGCAGCCAUCUUGUCUGGCCAAUGCAUGAUGCUGGCAGCCAUCUUGUCUGGCUAUCCUAUAGUGCUGGCAGCCAUCUUGUCUGGCCUACCUAUGCUUUCGGCGGCCAUCUUAUCCACCCCACCCACGCCUGCCGGCAGCCAUCUUGACCGAGCCACUUCUGACACCCCANNNNNNNNNNNNNNNNNNNNNNNNNNNNNNNNNNNNCUACCCCCACCCACCCCUCACAUCUUCUUCACCCGCUCCUCCAACGCCUCCAACUCCGCCAUGACAUCCCUGGGCAGAUCAGCUCCGAAGUUUUCCUCGUAAUAAUCCCUCAACUGCCUGCAUUCCUCCACCCAAAAUCCUUUCUCCAUCGGGAACAGCUGAUCGUAAUCCACCCCCUGCAACCCAUCCAGCUCCAAAUCUCCUUCUUUCGGUACCAACCCGAUAGGAGUUGACCUGGCCGUAUCUUUUCCUUGGAUCCUACCAAAAAUCCAAGCCAAAACUCGAGCGUUGUGACCGAAACCCGGCCAAACGAAGCGACCUUCGUUAUCUCUCAAGAACCAAUUAACGUGAAAGAAACGAGGAAGUCGGGCUUUUCUCCUUUCGCCCGUGGAAAGCCAAUGCUCCAGGUAACGACCGGCGUUGUAACCGAAAAAAGGGCGCAUGGCGAAGGGGUCGUG